UUGGAGGGCAAGUCUGGUGCCAGCAGCCGCGGUAAUUCCAGCUCCAAUAGCGUAUAUUAAACUUGUUGCAGUUAAAAAGCUCGUAGUUGAAUUUCAGCGUUUCGCGUGUGCCUCUUUUGGCCCAUCUCGUCUCGCUUUUUUUAUUACUUUGAGAAAAUUAGAGUGUUUCAAGCAGGCUUUUGUCUUGAAUACUUGAGCAUGGAAUAAUAGAGUAGGACCUUGGUUCUAUUUUGUUGGUUUUGUUACCUUGGUAAUGGUUAAUAGGAACGGUUGGGGGCAUUCGUAUUUAACUGUCAGAGGUGAAAUUCUUAGAUUUGUUAAAGACGAACUACUGCGAAAGCAUUUGCCAAGGACGUUUCCAUUAAUCAAGAACGAAAGUUAGGGGAUCGAAGACGAUCAGAUACCGUCGUAGUCCU
rnacentral:rRNA from 1 species